rnacentral:siRNA from 1 species
AGGAGGAAACGCUCCGGUGGACGG